GAAGCGUGCGAUUGGAUUGCACGUCUAAGCAGUAAGGCUGAGUAUUAGGCAAAUCCGGUACUCGUUAAGGCUGAGCUGUGAUGGGGAGAAGACAUUGUGUCUUCGAGUCGUUGAUUUCACACUGCCGAGAAAAGCCUCUAGAUAGAAAAUAGGUGCCCGUACCGCAAACCGACACAGGUAGUCAAGAUGAGAAUUCUAAGGUGAGCGAGCGAACUCUCGUUAAGGAACUCGGCAAAAUGACCCCGUAACUUCGGGAGAAGGGGUGCUCUUUAGGGUUAACGCCCAGAAGAGCCGCAGUGAAUAGGCCCAAGCGACUGUUUAUCAAAAACACAGGUCUCUGCUAAACCGUAAGGUGAUGUAUAGGGGCUGACGCCUGCCCGGUGCUGGAAGGUUAAGAGGAGUGGUUAGCUUCUGCGAAGCUACGAAUCGAAGCCCCAGUAAACGGCGGCCGUAACUAUAACGGUCCUAAGGUAGCGAAAUUCCUUGUCGGGUAAGUUCCGACCCGCACGAAAGGCGUAACGAUUUGGGCACUGUCUCAACGAGAGACUCGGUGAAAUCAUAGUACCUGUGAAGAUGCAGGUUACCCGCGACAGGACGGAAAGACCCCGUGGAGCUUUACUGUAGCCUGAUAUUGAAAUUCGGCACAGCUUGUACAGGAUAGGUAGGAGCCUUUGAAACGUGAGCGCUAGCUUACGUGGAGGCGCUGGUGGGAUACUACCCUAGCUGUGUUGGCUUUCUAACCCGCACCACUUAUCGUGGUGGGAGACAGUGUCAGGCGGGCAGUUUGACUGGGGCGGUCGCCUCCUAAAAGGUAACGGAGGCGCUCAAAGGUUCCCUCAGAAUGGUUGGAAAUCAUUCAUAGAGUGUAAAGGCAUAAGGGAGCUUGACUGCGAGACCUACAAGUCGAGCAGGGUCGAAAGACGGACUUAGUGAUCCGGUGGUUCCGCAUGGAAGGGCCAUCGCUCAACGGAUAAAAGCUACCCCGGGGAUAACAGGCUUAUCUCCCCCAAGAGUUCACAUCGACGGGGAGGUUUGGCACCUCGAUGUCGGCUCAUCGCAUCCUGGGGCUGUAGUCGGUCCCAAGGGUUGGGCUGUUCGCCCAUUAAAGCGGUACGCGAGCUGGGUUCA
rnacentral:rRNA from 1 species